UCCAGAGGGGGCAAGCGUUGUUCGGAAUUACUGGGCGUAAAGGGCUCGUAGGCGGCCAACUAAGUCGGACGUGAAAUCCCCAGGCUCAACCUGGGAACUGCGUCCGAUACUGGAUGGCUUGAAUCCGGGAGAGGGAUGCAGAAUUCCAGGUGUAGCGGUGAAAUGCGUAGAUAUCUGGAGGAAUACCGGUGGCGAAGGCGGCAUCCUGGACCGGCAUUGACGCUGAGGAGCGAAAGCCAGGGGAGCAAGCGGG
rnacentral:rRNA from 1 species